rnacentral:rRNA from 1 species
UACGAAGGGUGCAAACGUUGCUCGGAAUUAUUGGGCGUAAAGCGCACGUAGGCGGCAUUGCAAGUCGGAUGUGAAAUCUUAUGGCUUAACCAUAAAAGUGCAUCCGAAACUGCAGUGCUUGAGUACUUAAGAGGAUCGCGGAAUUCCCGGUGUAGAGGUGAAAUUCGUAGAUAUCGGGAGGAACACAAGUGGCGAAGGCGGCGAUCUGGGAAGAUACUGACGCUGAGGUGCGAAAGCGUGGGGAGCAAACAGG